rnacentral:rRNA from 1 species
AUGAGGACGGCAACGCGGGGAGGGAGCGACAACGGCAACGACGAGCGACGGCGAUGCGAGGAAGGCGGCGCGUCGACAGCAACGACAACCGACGGCCGAGUUGGGAAUCGGAACAGGUGUGGCAGAACGACAUCGACCUCCUCAAGCCGUCGGCGGGUCCAGAGAAGCUCAACUCAUUCCUCAUUGUACGUGCGCAUCAGACCACAUAGGAUUGCCACGGCUGCUUCAACAUGUGCGCUGUUAAACCUUGUCGAGGGAGGUGGUGGCGACUGGUGGUGCGAAGCCGAUCCUCCACAAGGGCUUCUCCAUGCUGCUACGCUCUCCCAUCAGUCUCUUCUUGCCUUCGCUCAGGCAGGCGCCGACAGGGCUGACACGUCGUUGAUUAGCGACAGACAGCGUGGCAACGCUGGUGUGCGAGGAGUCUCCGGCCGCUAUAGGCUACAGCCUCAGAAUUACUUCUACGGUGAGUCGGAGUGUGAUGUCUUCUCAUGGGCUACUAUCAUCAAUCAAGGUGGCCAUCGGUCGAUAUCAAGCUUGACAAGUACUUCCUUAAGGCUGAUGUCCGCUCCCGUCGCGUCGCUGGCCGAGGCCCCAUCUCCAUGGGAAGCUGCUAUUUUUUCGAUAGAUUGGCAAUGA